GGGAGCUACCAUUUGAUUUUUAUGGGGGGCUAGGAUGAAAUUUGAAAAAAAUAGGCAGGACAGGAGUUUUGAGUAAAAAAAAAGGCAGGAUGAGACACUUGCAAAAAAAAAAAAAAAAGGCAGGACCGAACAGAGUGAAAAAUAAAAAGGCAGGACAGAGAUUACAACUAAAAAAAAAAAUGCAGGACAAAAUUUUUCAUCCUAGCCCCCCCCCC
rnacentral:lncRNA from 1 species